GGGCAGGUACCCGAGUGGCCAAAGGGGGCAGACUGUAAAUCUGCUGGCACUUGCCUUCGUUGGUUCGAAUCCAACCCUGCCCA
rnacentral:tRNA from 2 species